GCCCUUAGAGUUUGAUCCUGGCUCAGGACGAACGCUGGCGGCGUGCUUAACACAUGCAAGUCGAGCGGUAAGGCCCUUCGGGGUACACGAGCGGCGAACGGGUGAGUAACACGUGAGCAACCUGCCCCUGACUCUGGGAUAAGCGGUGGAAACGCCGUCUAAUACCGGAUACGACCUUCCACCUCAUGGUGGAGGGUGGAAAGUUUUUUCGGUCAGGGAUGGGCUCGCGGCCUAUCAGCUUGUUGGUGGGGUAACGGCCUACCAAGGCGAUUACGGGUAGCCGGCCUGAGAGGGCGACCGGCCACACUGGGACUGAGACACGGCCCAGACUCCUGCGGGAGGCAGCAGUGGGGAAUAUUGCGCAAUGGGCGAAAGCCUGACACAGCGACGCCGCGUGGGGGAUGACGGCCUUCGGGUUGUAAACCUCUUUUACCACCAACGCAGGCUCCGGGUUCUCUCGGGGUUGACGGUAGGUGGGGAAUAAGGACCGGCUAACUACGUGCCAGCAGCCGCGGUAAUACGUAGGGUCCGAGCGUUGUCCGGAAUUAUUGGGCGUAAAGAGCUCGUAGGCGGCGUGUCGCGUCUGCUGUGAAAGACCCGGGGCUUAACUCCGGUUCUGCAGUGGAUACGGGCAUGCUAGAAGGUAGGUA
rnacentral:rRNA from 1 species